rnacentral:lncRNA from 10 species
UGAGAUCCUGGCCCAAAACAAAAAGGAGUCCCUAGGUAGCAAACUGCAACUUAACUUCAUAUGAAAACAAUCUACAACUGUAACAUAUUCUGUAACAAAUAACUGAGACUCAGUUAAUUAUAGCAGCUGGGCUUUAACCAGUCAUGGGAUGACAACUGAUCAGACCAUGUAUCUGUAUAAGGCAAGUGCUUCAUCACACCGUGGCUGAAUCAGGUAAAUUCUGAGCUAUAAUCUAUGUUUCUAUAUUUCAUUUCCUUUUUCUGUCUAUAAAUGCUACCUGCCUAUGUUACUUGAUGAAACUUUGUGAACCUCAACUGAUUCAGGGGGCUGACCAAUUCAUGAAUUAUUUUUGCUAAAAUUAAUGCUGCCAAAUUUAAUUUGACUAAAUUUUUGUUAACAGCAUAUCAUUCUAUUUACAUUAAUUUUUACUAAGAUGAAGGAUUGAAUUAUUUACAGAAAAU